GAUGAACGCUGGCGGUGUGCCUAAUACAUGCAAGUCGAGCGAACAGACGAGGAGCUUACUCCUCUGACGUUAGCGGCGGACGGGUGAGUAACACGUGGAUAACCUACCUAUAAGACUGGGAUAACUUCGGGAAACCGGAGCUAAUACCGGAUAACAUGUUGAACCGCAUGGUUCAACAGUGAAAGACGGUCUUGCUGUCACUUAUAGAUGGAUCCGCGUCGCAUUAGCUAGUUGGUAAGGUAACGGCUUACCAAGGCAACGAUGCGUAGCCGACCUGAGAGGGUGAUCGGCCACACUGGAACUGAGACACGGUCCAGACUUCUACGGGAGGCAGCAGUAGGGAAUCUUCCGCAAUGGGCGAAAGCCUGACGGAGCAACGCCGCGUGAGUGAAGAAGGUCUUCGGAUCGUAAAACUCUGUUAUUAGGGAAGAACAAAUGUGUAAGUAACUAUGCACGUCUUGACGGUACCUAAUCAGAAAGCCACGGCUAACUACGUG
rnacentral:rRNA from 1 species